GACGAACGCUGGCGGCGUGCUUAACACAUGCAAGUCGAACGGAAAGGCCCUGCUUUUGUGUGGUGCUCGAGUGGCGAACGGGUGAGUAACACGUGAGUAACCUGCCCUUGACUUUGGGAUAACUUCAGGAAACUGGGGCUAAUACCGGAUAGGAGCUCCUGCUGCAUGGUGGGGGUUGGAAAGUUUCGGCGGUUGGGGAUGGACUCGCGGCUUAUCAGCUUGUUGGUGGGGUAGUGGCUUACCAAGGCUUUGACGGGUAGCCGGCCUGAGAGGGUGACCGGGCACAUUGGGACUGAGAUACGGCCCAGACUCCUACGGGAGGCAGCAGUGGGGAAUAUUGCACAAUGGGCGGAAGCCUGAUGCAGCAACGCCGCGUGCGGGAUGACGGCCUUCGGGUUGUAAACCGCUUUCGCCUGUGACGAAGCGUGAGUGACGGUAAUGGGUAAAGAAGCACCGGCUAACUACGUG
rnacentral:rRNA from 1 species